rnacentral:sRNA from 2 species
UGAGAAGCUUCUACCAGGGUUCGAUUCGAGCGCAGCGAGAAAGCGUUGCCGCAGGCAACGACCCGAAGGGCGAAGCGCGCAGCGCUGAGUCAUCCUUCCCCCACCACCA